rnacentral:rRNA from 1 species
AGUGAACGCUGGCGGUAGGCCUAACACAUGCAAGUCGAACGGAAGCACAGUAAGAGCUUGCUCUUACGGGUGGCGAGUGGCGGACGGGUGAGGAAUACAUCGGAAUCUACUUUUUCGGGGGGGAUAACGUAGGGAAACUUACGAUAAUACCGCAUACGACCUACGGGUGAAAGGAGGGGAUCUUCGGACCUUGCGCGAUUGAAUGAGCCGAUGUCGGUUUAGCUAGUUGGCGGGGUAAAGGCCAACCAAGGCGACGAUCCGUAGCUGGUCUGAGAGGAGGAUCAGCCACCUGGGAACGUAGACACGGUCCAGGCUCCUACGGGAGGCAGCAGUGGGGAAUAUUGGACAAUGGGCGCAAGCCUGAUCCAGCCAGACCGCGUGGGUGAAGAAGGCCUUCGGGUUGUAAAGCCCUUUUGUUGGUAAAGAAAAGCAGCAGGUUAAUACCCCGCGGUACUGACGGUACCCAAAGAAUAAGCACCGGCUAACUUCGUG